rnacentral:lncRNA from 1 species
GUUUUUAUAUCUAAAUAUUAAUGAAAAGUAUUCUUUUUUGUAAUUUCUUUUUAGAGAAGGCGAACAUAAUCCAAAAAAGAGUGGGUUUAGUAACGUGGGGUUUUGUCUUUUUUUGUUUUUAUUGUACUUCCAAAAAAAAAGUAGGCCAAUUUGCAUACAAAAUUUACAAAUUUUGAGUUUUUGUAAAACUCGGCCGUCUUUUUCGAUUUUGCAAAUUGGGUUCGAAUUUUUACUAAACUGACCAAAAUAUUUUUAUACAUUUUUCUCUCUUCUUUGUUUUUUAUCGCGUUCUUUUUUGUUUCUUGCCGAAAAAAGCGACAGAGACGAAGGCGGAAACGGUCCCCACCAUCUCUGCACCUCACACUCUCACCCUCGCCCGCACACCCCUCGCCCUACUCUUCUCCGACCCCACCAAAGCAGUGCUGCGACCUUUUUUUUUUUUUCUUUCUGACCCUCCUCUACUGCCUCCAUGAUCCUCCGAAACGAUAAAGAGAAUGGCACCACGUUUUCUUCCUCCGACUACGCCCUCCGCCUUCAUUUUAAAGGGUGCAUACGUUUUACCUUUUGUUCUCUAGUGUUUUGAAUUUAGUUCCAAACUGCAUUAGUGGUACACGAAGGUACACGUAUCCACGUGUCAUUGCUUUUGUAGGAUCUGACUCGUUGAUGUCCUUGUCGUAGAACUAUUAUAAUAUGUAAUUAUAAAUGGAGUAAAAUAUAUAUAAUUAUAAGGAAUAAUUUCAUAGAUGCCCCUCUAGAAACUAUUAAUUUCAUCAAUACCCUUCCAAAAUUAAUAAUAUCACAAAUACCCUCCAAAAUGUGAAAAAUUAUCAUAAAUACCCUCCUCUAGUUAAGAUUCAUUAAAGCCCAUUUGAAUCGGAGUUAAAUUUUUAAAAUACCAUUUUUACCCUUUAUCUCUUUUUAAUAGUAGAAAUACUAAUAGGUAUUUCAAAAUAAUUUUUGUAAAUCUAAAUUUGAGUAUUUAAUAUAUAAAUAGUUAAUUAAAUUAUUAAUAUAUAUUAAUUAAUAAAAAAUAUAUAAAAAUUGUAUUUUAAAUAUAGUAUGUUUUUAUCUGAUUUUGGUUUUGUUUUUGGUUUUGGGUUUCGGUUCAGAUUCGGUUUAAAUAUAGACCAAAACUAUAUAACUGAAUUUACAUACGACGGGAUUUUAUUUUUUGGUAUCUAUAACUAAAACUAUCCCCUAUUCAGCAUUGAUUAAACUUAUCCCAUUUUAAAUCGAGUUUAGAUAAAAUUCCGUAUCUAUAUCAAUUCACAUUCCUAAUUAGUAAUAGUAAUUUUGAAAUAAAUUAUAGAUUUUAUUUUUUUCCUAUUUAAAAAUAAAUCACAUAAUUGUUUUGUCGAUUGAAAUAAAAAGAGAGUUUUGUUCAAAAGCUAAAAUAUAUUAUAUUUCAGUUUUUUAAUACACUUAAUGCAGAUAAAAUUAUCGAGAAUAAUUUUGAUUAAAAAAAUUUUUAAGUUUUCAAGAUUAAAGAAAGAUCGGAUAAUUCCUUAACAUUAUUUUCAUUUAAAUUUUAUAUAUAGUUAUUUAUUUGAUAAAAAAUAAAUAGAGCCAUUAGAUUUGGUAAAAUCAUCAAAAAAAACUAAAAAAUUCUUUUUUUUUUAUACACUGAAAUUAGGUUUUUUUUAUAAAUAAAAAGUUAAUGGGGUAUCAACUAAAAAAUGAAAGUUGAGGGAGCUGUUUCAAAAUGCAUAUAGUUGAGGGGGUUUCCACACAUUUUUAGUUAAAAGAUAUUUGAGGGUAAAUAAGUCAUUUUAAAAAUUAACCCAUCUUUAACCAUGUAAUAACUAUAGUAAAACUAACCUAACUAACAGUAGGGGUAUUAAUGAUAAUUUUUUGUGUUUAUAGGGGUAUUGGUGAUAUUUUAAACUUUAUAGGGGCAUCUAUGAUAUUUUAAACUUUGGGAGGGGUAUCCAUGAAAUUGCCCCUAAUUAUAAUUAGGAUAAAUUUUAAAUAUUAUUUAUGUCAUUUCGUAUUUUUUUCGCUUUAGUACUUUAUGUUUCAAAAUGUAUCAAUUCAGUAUCUUUGAUUAUUUGUCUUUUCGUCGUCCCCUCCGGUAACGUUUCAUUAAAUCAUAUACAAAAAAUUUUAGAUAUUCCAUCUAUAGUUUAUCAAAUAUUUACUUUAAUACUUUUUAAUUUUAACUUUCUCACUGAUUUAAUAAAAAAAAUUAAUAAAGGGUAUAACAAAAAAAAAAAAAUUAUAGAAUAUGAAAAUGAUAUACUUUAAACCACACGAUAUUAAAAUAAAAAAGUACGAAAUUACAGAAAUGAUAUUUUAAUUUUUUUUUAUAAUUAUUAUAUAUCUCAUUUAGUUGAAUAUAGUAAAAAAUAGAG